rnacentral:rRNA from 1 species
AGCGAACGCUGGCGGCAGGCUUAACACAUGCAAGUCGAACGGGCACUUCGGUGCUAGUGGCAGACGGGUGAGUAACACGUGGGAACGUACCUUUCGGUUCGGAAUAAUUCAGGGAAACUUGGACUAAUACCGGAUACGCCCUUCGGGGGAAAGAUUUAUCGCCGAUAGAUCGGCCCGCGUCUGAUUAGCUAGUUGGUGAGGUAAUGGCUCACCAAGGCGACGAUCAGUAGCUGGUCUGAGAGGAUGAUCAGCCACAUUGGGACUGAGACACGGCCCAAACUCCUACGGGAGGCAGCAGUGGGGAAUAUUGGACAAUGGGCGCAAGCCUGAUCCAGCCAUGCCGCGUGAGUGAUGAAGGCCUUAGGGUUGUAAAGCUCUUUUGUCCGGGAAGAUAAUGACUGUACCGGAAGAAUAAGCCCCGGCUAACUUCGUGCCAGCAGCCGCCGUAACAC